rnacentral:rRNA from 1 species
UGCAGUCGAGCGGACAGAAGGGAGCUUGCUCCCGGAUGUUAGCGGCGGACGGGUGAGUAACACGUGGGUAACCUGCCUGUAAGACUGGGAUAACUCCGGGAAACCGGAGCUAAUACCGGAUAGUUCCUUGAACCGCAUGGUUCAAGGAUGAAAGACGGUUUCGGCUGUCACUUACAGAUGGACCCGCGGCGCAUUAGCUAGUUGGUGAGGUAACGGCUCACCAAGGCGACGAUGCGUAGCCGACCUGAGAGGGUGAUCGGCCACACUGGGACUGAGACACGGCCCAGACUCCUACGGGAGGCAGCAGUAGGGAAUCUUCCGCAAUGGACGAAAGUCUGACGGAGCAACGCCGCGUGAGUGAUGAAGGUUUUCGGAUCGUAAAGCUCUGUUGUUAGGGAAGAACAAGUGCAAGAGUAACUGCUUGCACCUUGACGGUACCUAACCAGAAAGCCACGGCUAACUACGUGCCAGCAGCCGCGGUAAUACGUAGGUGGCAAGCGUUGUCCGGAAUUAUUGGGCGUAAAGGGCUCGCAGGCGGUUUCUUAAGUCUGAUGUGAAAGCCCCCGGCUCAACCGGGGAGGGUCAUUGGAAACUGGGAAACUUGAGUGCAGAAGAGGAGAGUGGAAUUCCACGUGUAGCGGUGAAAUGCGUAGAGAUGUGGAGGAACACCAGUGGCGAAGGCGACUCUCUGGUCUGUAACUGACGCUGAGGAGCGAAAGCGUGGGGAGCGAACAGGAUUAGAUACCCUGGUAGUCCACGCCGUAAACGAUGAGUGCUAAGUGUUAGGGGGUU